rnacentral:tRNA from 1 species
CUCGCUGAACUCGAAGGUCGUCUCGCAGAAUG